GUUGAUCUCUGCACCUUCCAUUCUGCAUCAUUUAUAAGAAAUAACCAAAUCAAACAAACUAAUACACAUAAAGAUAAUUUUCCAUCAUAAAGAAAAUCACCAGCUGAUGUUAUGAUCGGAAAAGACAAGAACUAGAAUACAGCGUUCAGCUGCAAUUGUUAAAUAUCAGUGUAGUUAAAACACCCUCUGUUCCACUGUGAAUGACCCAGUGAUUAGCAAAAGAUAAUUAAGUGGUUCAUGUAAAAUAAAGUCGACAAAAUAAGACAAUUUAAAGGGCAGUAAACUACAUCUAUAUUCAAUAUCUCAUUGCAAUAUAGUUCUCUUAAUAUUUUUAUCCAAAUUAAGUUGUCAAUCAUGGCAAUUUGUUGCUGCAGAGUUGUUGUGAGACAAGUCCAGUAUUUAUGGUGCUUCACAAUCCAAGUUUGCUUCAAAUCUGCCAUUAAUGGUAAAAUGUUUCUUCUUUUAUUUGCCAACCAUCCAAUCCAGUGAUCUCUGAAAUAUCAAUUUCUAGCGCUAAGUUGAAGCUAAGUGAAGAUCUUAAUAUAUGCAGUUUAACACACUAUAACAAGUUCUGAUCCACAUGCAUUACAUCCGCAAGUGCAUGUGCUUGUGUAUAACUCUUCCCUUGUGACCACCAUUGUGUGGAACAGAAAUUUUAAUUUUCCUCAGAGGUUUUGCCUGUGGUAUUCUGAGAAACAUGAAAAGAUAAAGACGUACAUUAUACCUUGUCUGUUUAUCAUUAUCUGUG
rnacentral:misc_RNA from 1 species